UCAGCCGGACAGGCGACAAGUUAGCCUGGCCUAACUUCAGAAGUGAGGCCAGGAUGACGAAGACCCCUGCGGCGGUGCCGACCGGCCGGCUGAUC
rnacentral:tRNA from 1 species